GUGAUUCGUCACACUAUCAUUAACUGAAUCCAUAGGUUAAUGAGGCGAACCGGGGGAACUGAAACAUCUAAGUACCCCGAGGAAAAGAAAUCAACCGAGAUUCCCCCAGUAGCGGCGAGCGAACGGGGAGGAGCCCAGAGCCUGAAUCAGCAUGUGUGUUAGUGGAAGCGUCUGGAAAGGCGCGCGAUACAGGGUGACAGCCCCGUACACAAAAGCGCAUGUGCUGUGAGCUCGAUGAGUAGGGCGGGACACGUGGUAUCCUGUCUGAAUAUGGGGGGACCAUCCUCCAAGGCUAAAUACUCCUGACUGACCGAUAGUGAACCAGUACCGUGAGGGAAAGGCGAAAAGAACCCCGGCGAGGGGAGUGAAAAAGAACCUGAAACCGU
rnacentral:rRNA from 1 species